UAUUGGCAGAGCAGUGUCAGAAUGAAAUCCAAUUAGAUACCGUGUGUUACCACCACCCCUCCAUUAUACCACGGCAAAAAGAUCUACUUCAAAAAGUUGGAUAUUAAAUUUCUUUUCUGGCCAAGACGCACGACCAGAAACAACAGCGGCGAUAAUGGGACGAAGGGUAAAUGUUUGCCAGCUUGUAGGGCAGCAAACAGGAAACCUCUCAUUAGGGAAGAACGAUGUAGAGAGUGGGAUGAAUUAACUUUUCCAUCACCACUGGCUUUUGUGUUUUGCUCGUGAACACUUUUCUGCUUAAGUAACUCUGCGGUCUCUCUGGCAGACGCAUAACCAAAUGAAAAGAGAGUGAACGAUUACAUCAUGAAUAAAUCAAACUAAUGUGCGAGUCAACGCAGUCAUUAAAGUUUUCUUUCUGAUAAUUAGAUGUUUAAUGCAGACAAGCAGGCAUUUACAUAACAUUUAACAUCUUGGGUUGUUGCCAAAAUGUGAUUUUAAUUUAACUAAUGGGGUUCAUGUGAUUGCACGGGGCGGGUGUGAAAAGUAAAGGAGUUUCUUGAACUUGCCCAGCAGGGGACGAUUCCUCUGAUUGCAAAGAGAAGAUUAUGAGGAAGUCUAUAAAAAGUUGACCCCAAUUUACUCUUGCUUUACUACCUCGGUAAACAUCGCAAACAUGGGUUCACGGUCUUAAUCGCUACUUGAGCUAGGAGGGUAUACUUUAGGACAUGGCAACCUUGUGAUUGACAGGUCGCUACCACUUCUUAAAACUCAAAACCUUUUGAAAAAUGGGCUUAUCGCUUGUUAAAGUGAGCUGUAAGACGAUAUUUCUUUAAAAAUGGCAUGUUUAGCGUCCGGUCGGGCUUAGCUUCAUCAUCAUCAUCAUCAUCAUCAAUGGACAACAACAUGGCGAAGGACAAAAACCAAGAUGGCAAUCUCAUGCCGAACUCAGGGCCAUCCACAAAAAGAAUGGGUGACGUCACCAUGGCUACCUCCAAAUCUUACGCUCAUUCUAUGGAUUACACUUAAAUACAAGUCACCUUUAGAAAGGGAAAAGUGAGGUAGGACGAAUAUCAUAUCAUGACUACACCCAAAAGCUUUGGAACCCCAAUGCUGUGCUCGACCUCAGUGAAAGCUCAAGACAGAUUACCCGCUGUGACACCUAUGACAUGAUGUCCUCCAGUCGAGACUAUCAUCCGCUACUCCAGCAUCUCCUCUUCACUCCACCCCCCCACGUCCCCCCAUCUACAACAACACCAGAGUCCAGAGAGUGAGAGGAGAGAAGGAUUGCGCUCGGCUCCACUCCAUUUUCGGCACGGAUGCACAGACGAUUCGACGAAGAUCCAGUGGAGUUCUUCUUGAGAAAAGCUUGGAGAGGCCUAACUGCACAUUUGCCUUCCACUUCCAUCCUCAUGAGGACCCGACACCGACGGCAGCCAAGUACCGAGCCACAAACGCCCCGGGAGAGAACCGAGCGCCGACGGCGACGGCCACCGAAAUCCUCCAAACUUCACGUGGGCCAAAUCUCUAAAAAAAAAAAAAAGGCAGAACGUACAGCACCAGAUACACGAGCACGCUCAUCCUUUUUGACUGCACCCAACCGGAGGAGUGAGCGGCUCAUUUUGGGCUGCGUCCUUUCAUGUGUGACAACAAUGAGGGUUAAAAUUCAGACCUACUUUCCUCGGUAAUCAGGUCAGGUCCGGACAGGUGCUCUCCGACUGAUAAAGGGUUGUGGGGAUGGGAGGGCUCCAUUUUUUUUUUUAUAUUGCAAGGGUUUUAUUCUAACCUUCGGGGAGUCAUUUUGUAUAACUGACCAAUAUUAGCACACAAAUGAGCAAGCCACCCGAUUCUCUCAGGCAGGGCUACAAAACACUGAACCAGAUAUUAAGCUUUGAUCUAGUAGGAUUUAUUUUAGGGAGAAGAGGAAACGAAACUCUAAUGUUAGUUGUGUUUCUCUGUAAAAGAUACUGAUUAUCUUUUCUAAAAGAGCAAGCAAACAAAUAACCACGCGUUUAAGGGCAGAAAAUCAUUAGUAAACAUUAAACUACUGUUAAUUAGAAUCGUAAACAAACACGCCCAUCAUUGUACCAUAUUUUGUUGAACCAUCUAUCCAUCUCGACCUCCUGCCCUUUUUUUUUGCUAGUUUCCCAAUCAAAGUAAAUGUAUCCCGUUCAGCUGUUCCCUCACAAGCGGUUAAUCCGCCCUGCAAAUACUCUAAAGCCCUUUCAAACACGCCAUCCUGGAGCAAAUAAAACCAUGACGUCCUUUAAUUGGCAGUGGCGCAAUCUGCGCUUGAGUGUGCAGUGCUCUAAAAAUCAAUACGGUGCUAUUGUAUUAUUCAGUGUUCAGUUCCUGGUACUCGCAUGGCCCGGUGGCCGCUUACUGUGAAAACUAAUGCAGCAUUCUACACACAAACACG
ensembl:lncRNA